UGGGCAAUCACAAUUCAUAGUUGGGUAAUUAGAACAAUCAAGGAUAACAAGCUUGAACUACUCCCUGAAUAGGGUAUAACUUGAGGAAUGUUUGUAAUGCUUUUUGGGACUUACUGAAUCACUUGCUUCAGGACUUACUUGGAGAGCCUACUAUGCUUGUCUCCUUGCACCACUGAAGAAGAAAUCUUCAAAGAAGAUGCAUGAAUUUAAUGCAAAGAACUUUAUGGACAUUACCAAAGACAAGGAUGCAGCUAAGUAUGGACAUUGUUACUGAAGUUCAAUGCCCCAUCAACCUACUCCAAAUAAUUACGUACCAGAUGGUAGGGGACUGGCAUGAGCAUUUUGGGACAAAUAUGCAAAAACAUGCAAAAGAACAUGCUAGAAGUCCUUCAGUGCAAAAAGAGUUCCCCUGAAUCUUGAAUCCAGAAGGAAGAAUGUGAUCAAAAUCUGCUGUUCUACAAACAAUUGUGCAUCCAUGGAAAGGAAAUACGACAUGGUAGCAACCAGGUGGCAAUUCUCACAAUUCUUAGUAAGAAAUCAGGUAUUAUAGGUGUCAUAGUCUAACAACAUAUCAGCAUCAGGUUGCCUAUGCCUGCAAUUGGGAAUGAAAGUGCCUCUUCCCUCCUGGGCACUGGGAUGAAGAGGGAUGUGAUGAAUAUAUACUGGCUUCCUGCUAUGAAAGGCUGGUAUUACCAUUAUGUGUUUAUGCCAAGAAUCAAGCAUGAGCAAAGGGAUGGAAAUAUAUUCCAUUUACAUCAGCAUCUUCUUGGAGAAUGGACCAUGCCAAAACUUGGGCAUCAACUGGGUCAAGAUAUUUAUCAAAAUAAUAACAUUCCUUUUUAUUGUACAGCUAUGAGCCCUGUUUUUAUGCAAACAAUUUGCUAGCCUGUGUUAUUGAGAAUAGCGGACGCAGCAGAUAACAGCCAUUUUAUACCAUUAUUCAAAUGGGUUCUCCAUGUCUGUUCUAGUGUUAAACUGCAAGUGUAGAAACUAUUACCCACUAAAGAAAGGAGAUCCCCUCUUACAAAGGGUUUAAUACAACAUUAUUUGGUAUUGAUAGUGACUCAAGCACAAGCCCUAUAAUGUCCUUUGGUUGGAAUGGAAAGGAUUGACCUUGUAUGUACAAGGAGCACAGAAGGCCUUUAACAAGUAACAGAAACAGUGAUUAUUAAGGAUUUAGAGACUCCCAAAGAUCAGAGAAACCUGGUUGUUCUGAAGAUUGUAAUGAAGGAUUGAUUUUUCUCAAAGAUCUUCUCAUGUUUAUAUUGACACAGAAUUAAGGAAUGUGUUAGUCACACUUUUGACUCACUUUGUUAGUAUCUAUGAAUUUGUACUGACAUUGUAAUUCUGUGAUAAUGCAGUUGUUUUAUUAUAUUAAUAUAGGAUACAACUAAUAAAAUAUGAA